UACGUAGGGAGCGAGCGUUAUCCGGAUUUACUGGGUGUAAAGGGCGCGUAGGCGGGAAUGCAAGUCAGAUGUGAAAUCUCCGGGCUCAACCCGGAAACUGCAUUUGAAACUGUAUUUCUUGAGUGAUGGAGAGGCAAGCGGAAUUCCUAGUGUAGCGGUGAAAUGCGUAGAUAUUAGGAGGAACACCAGUGGCGAAGGCGGCUUGCUGGACAUUAACUGACGCUGAGGCGCGAAAGCGUGGGGAGCAAACAGG
rnacentral:rRNA from 1 species